rnacentral:misc_RNA from 1 species
AAGUCGUAACAAGGUUUCCGUAGGUGAACCUGCGGAAGGAUCAUUAUCGAGUUAGGGUCUCUGGCCCGAACCUCCAACCCUUUGUCUACCUACCUCUGUUGCUUUGGCGGGGCGUGGAUUCGUCCACCGUCGGCCCCGGCCGGCGAGCCCCCGCCAGAGUCCAACCAAAAUUCGUUAAACUGUGAUGUCUGAGUGAAAACAAAUAAGUUAAAAACUUUCAACAACGGAUCUCUUGGUUCUC